UCCAGCUCUGACUCUCCAGCAUUAAUUCUUGCCUGACUUUUUAAGUUUCUGACCCUGGAUUGCUGUUUUUGACCACCGUAUAUUGCCUUCCCCUUCAAACUCAGACUGCUUUUCUGUGUAUUGGCUUAUCGGACUUCCCUUUCUGCCAUCUCGUUUGGAUACCUUUGCUGGUUCUGACCCUGAACUGUAUUAUCGACCUUACCUGUGGGGAGACCACCUUCUGACCAACUUCAGGUAUGGAGGCAUGUGAUUUCAGUCAGCUACAUAGGUGCUGUGUUGGGGAAGUCUGCCAUCUUGUCUGCAGCCAGGUACUCUUGUCAAUGAAGACCAACCACACACAUGCUCACCCACCUGGAAUGGAGUAAAGGCGCUCUGCAAUACUGUGCUGUGCUGUGUAUCACAUGGAGAUAAUGUGCUGUAUAUUAUUUGAAUGAAGAUUAAACUCUCCAGUA